GACGAACGCUGGCGGCGUGCUUAACACAUGCAAGUCGAACGAAGUGGCGAACGGGUGAGUAACGCGUAAUCAACCUGCCCUUCAGAGGGGGACAACAGUUGGAAACGACUGCUAAUACCGCAUACUGAAGGAGGGGCAUGCGUCUGAUUAGCUAGUUGGAGGGGUAACGGCCCAACAAGGCGAUGAUAAGUAGCCGGUCUGAGGGGAUGAACGGCAACAUUGGGACUGAGACACGGCCCAGACUCCUACGGGAGGCAGCAGUGGGGAAUCUUCCGCAAUGGGCGAAAGGCUGACGGAGAAACGCGGCGUGAGUGAUGACGGCCUUCGGGUGGUAAAGCUCUGUUAAUCGGGACGCGGUACCGGAAUAGAAAGCCACGGCUAACUACGUGCCAGCAGCCGCGGUAAUUC
rnacentral:rRNA from 1 species